rnacentral:rRNA from 1 species
AGACGGAGGGUCCAAGCGUUAUCCGGAAUCAUUGGGUUUAAAGGGUCCGCAGGCGGUCAAUUAAGUCAGAGGUGAAAGCCCAUCGCUCAACGAUGGAACUGCCUUUGAUACUGGUUGACUUGAGUUAUACGGAAGUAGAUAGAAUAAGUAGUGUAGCGGUGAAAUGCAUAGAUAUUACUUAGAAUACCGAUUGCGAAGGCAGUCUACUACGUAUAUACUGACGCUGAGGGACGAAAGCGUGGGGAGCAAACAGGAUUAGAUACCCCAGUAGUCC